CCUACGGGUGGCUGCAGUGGGGAAUAUUGCACAAUGGGGGAAACCCUGAUGCAGCAACGCCGCGUGAGUGAGGAAGUAUUUCGGUAUGUAAAGCUCUAUCAGCAGGGAAUAGAAACGAAGGUACCUGAAAACGAAGCCCCGGCUAACUACGUGCCAGCAGCCGCGGUAAUACGUAGGGGGCAAGCGUUAUCCGGAUUUAUUGGGUUUAAAGGGUGCGUAGGCGGAUUUUUAAGUCAGCGGUAAAAUGUCCGGGCUCAACCCGGGCCGGCCGUUGAAACUGGGGAUCUUGAGUGGGCGAGAAGUAUGCGGAAUGCGUGGUGUAGCGGUGAAAUGCAUAGAUAUCACGCAGAACUCCGAUUGCGAAGGCAGCAUACCGGAGCCCGACUGACGCUGAGGCACGAAAGCGUGGGGAUCGAACAGGAUUAGAUACCCGAGUAGUC
rnacentral:rRNA from 1 species